UGGGGGACAACGUUUCGAAAGGAACGCUAAUACCGCAUACGUCCUACGGGAGAAAGCAGGGGACCUUCGGGCCUUGCGCUAUCAGAUGAGCCUAGGUCGGAUUAGCUAGUUGGUGAGGUAAUGGCUCACCAAGGCGACGAUCCGUAACUGGUCUGAGAGGAUGAUCAGUCACACUGGAACUGAGACACGGUCCAGACUCCUACGGGAGGCAGCAGUGGGGAAUAUUGGACAAUGGGCGAAAGCCUGAUCCAGCCAUGCCGCGUGUGUGAAGAAGGUCUUCGGAUUGUAAAGCACUUUAAGUUGGGAGGAAGGGCAUUAACCUAAUACGUUAGUGUUUUGACGUUACCGACAGAAUAAGCACCGGCUAACUCUGUGCCAGCAGCCGCGGUAAUACAGAGGGUGCAAGCGUUAAUCGGAAUUACUGGGCGUAAAGCGCGCGUAGGUGGUUUGUUAAGUUGGAUGUGAAAGCCCCGGGCUCAACCUGGGAACUGCAUUCAAAACUGACAAGCUAGAGUAUGGUAGAGGGUGGUGGAAUUUCCUGUGUAGCGGUGAAAUGCGUA
rnacentral:rRNA from 3 species